UACGUAGGGUGCGAGCGUUAAUCGGAAUUACUGGGCGUAAAGCGUGCGCAGGCGGUUCGUUGUGUCGGCGGUGAAAGCCCCGGGCUUAACCUGGGAAUGGCCGUCGAAACUGGCGAACUGGAGUGUGGCAGAGGGGGGUGGAAUUCCGCGUGUAGCAGUGAAAUGCGUAGAGAUGCGGAGGAACACCGAUGGCGAAGGCAGCCCCCCUGGGGCUGACACUGACGCUCAGGCACGAAAGCGUGGGGGAGCAAACAGG
rnacentral:rRNA from 1 species